rnacentral:rRNA from 1 species
GGGUUGUGAGGUUAAGCGACUAAGCGUACACGGUGGAUGCCCUGGCAGUCAGAGGCGAUGAAGGGCGUGCUAAUCUGCGAUAAGCGCCGGUAAGGUGAUAUGAACCGUUAUAACCGGCGAUACCCGAAUGGGGAAACCCAGUGUGACUCGUCACACUAUCAUUAACUGAAUCCAUAGGUUAAUGAGGCGAACCGGGGGAACUGAAACAUCUACGUACCCCGAGGAAAAGAAAUCAACCGAGAUUCCCCCAGUAGCGGCGAGCGAACGGGGAGGAGCCCAGAGCCUGAAUCAGCAUGUGUGUUAGUGGAAGCGUCUGGAAAGGCGCGCGAUACAGGGUGACAGCCCCGUACACAAAAGCGCAUGUGCUGUGAGCUCGAUGAGUAGGGCGGGACACGUGGUAUCCUGUCUGAAUAUGGGGGGACCAUCCUCCAAGGCUAAAUACUCCUGACUGACCGAUAGUGAACCAGUACCGUGAGGGAAAGGCGAAAAGAACCCCGGCGAGGGGAGUGAAAAAGAACCUGAAACCGUGUACGUACAAGCAGUGGGAGCCCCACCACUAAGCCAGUGGUGAACUCCACAUACGCAUCCUUUGCUGAAGGCAAUGGUUAACGGAGCGAAAGCGACGUUCAACCGCAAAACAAGCAGAGGGGGCUUAGUGGUGGGGUGACUGCGUACCUUUUGUAUAAUGGGUCAGCGACUUAUAUUCUGUAGCAAGGUUAACCGUAUAGGGGAGCCGGAGGGAAACCGAGUCUUAAUUGGGCGUUAAGUUGCAGGGUAUAGACCCGAAACCCGGUGAUCUAGCCAUGGGCAGGUUGAAGGUUGGGUAACACUAACUGGAGGACCGAACCGACUAAUGUUGAAAAAUUAGCGGAUGACCUGUGGCUGGGGGUGAAAGGCCAAUCAAACCGGGAGAUAGCUGGUUCUCCCCGAAAGCUAUUUAGGUAGCGCCUCGUGAAUUCAUCUCCGGGGGUAGAGCACUGUUUCGGCUAGGGGGCCAUCCCGGCUUACCAACCCGAUGCAAACUGCGAAUACCGGAGAAUGUUAUCACGGGAGACACACGGCGGGUGCUAACGUCCGUCGUGAAGAGGGAAACAACCCAGACCGCCAGCUAAGGUCCCAAAGUCAUGGUUAAGUGGGAAACGAUGUGGGAAGGCCCAGACAGCCAGGAUGUUGGCUUAGAAGCAGCCAUCAUUUAAAGAAAGCGUAAUAGCUCACUGGUCGAGUCGGCCUGCGCGGAAGAUGUAACGGGGCUAAACCAUGCACCGAAGCUGCGGCAGCGACGCUUAUGCGUUGUUGGGUAGGGGAGCGUUCUGUAAGCCUGCGAAGGUGGCCUGUGAGGGUUGCUGGAGGUAUCAGAAGUGCGAAUGCUGACAUAAGUAACGAUAAAGCGGGUGAAAAGCCCGCUCGCCGGAAGACCAAGGGUUCCUGUCCAACGUUAAUCGGGGCAGGGUGAGUCGACCCCUAAGGCGAGGCCGAAAGGCGUAGUCGAUGGGAAACAGGUUAAUAUUCCCGUACUUGGUGUUACUGCGAAGGGGGGACGGAGAAGGCUAUGUUGGCCGGGCGACGGUUGUCCCGGUUUAAGCGUGUAGGUGUGUGUUCCAGGUAAAUCCGGUUCACUUUAACACUGAGGCGUGAUGA